rnacentral:lncRNA from 1 species
UUUUAUGUUCCGCAGGUUCUCCUCAUCCUGACUGCCCUACAGCCCUCCAUCUUCUCAGUCUUGGCCAACGGUGGGCAGAUUGCUUGUUCGCCUCCCUAUUCCUCUAAAACCAGGUCUCAAGUGAUGAAUUGCCACCUCCUCAUACUGGAGACUUUUCUAAUGACUGUGCUGACACGAAUGUACUACCGAAGGAAAGACCACAAGGUUGGGUAUGAAACUUUCUCUUCUCCAGACCUGGACUUGAACCUCAAAGCCUAAGGUGGAUGGCUUGGACAAUGAAAGGAUGCUGUACUCAUUAGAAUACAAGAUUCCUUUACUGUCCCUCAACCUUGACCAAAUGGGAAGCAUUCCCCCUUGUCAACACAAGCUGGCAGAUACAUUUGACUCUACAGAUGAAGGUGAACAAUGUUAGAAUAAAAUUGCUUUGGAUCUUGCCUGGAAGGUGUUUUAAGUUUUGUAAUAAACAAGAUGAUGUCUGAAAA